CAGUGCCAGAUAUGGCUUGCAGAAUCCAGGAUGUGUACUGUGCCAUGGGUGUGCUGAAGGGGGAUAGUCACUACUUCCCCAGCAGCAUCCAGAACACUAUGAAACCAUGGUGCACACACUGUACUAUGUGGCUGAGAAGAUGCUAGAAAUGGGACAGAAACACUCUUAGUUACGAAGCCAUGUCCAUAGAAAAUAGGCCAAGAAUUCCAGAGGCAACCUCCCGCCCACACGCUGGGGUGGAGGCGGCCUGUUCCCUAGUGCUCCUGUCACUCAUCUGUGCCGGCACCUUUGGUUUUCACCAUAGGAUCCUCGGAUUCCUCAAGGCCCUUCACCUCCAGGAAAAGCUAAGACUCUCAAGAGGGGGAGGCACGUGAGGGAUGACACAGGAUUGAGUCAUGGAAACUGCUCAUGGUAAUGAAGGGAGUCCUAGGCAAGAAGGACCUCUCCAGAAAGAUGCUGCACAUUUCUGCUUUUUCUUGGCUUUCAGUUCUUAAGGCUCCCAAAGAAAACUCCACUUGCACAAUUUCUCCUUGUUCCUUCGGCCUUUCAGCAAUUACCCAGCCCAUUCCCAAAGCCUGGGACUCUGUGUCAUCUUGAAUGGUUCACGCCUCCUUGUUCCUGAUCUUCUUUCCCCACCUCCUCCCAUCCUUCCUGCCCCCAGUUCCCCAGAUAGUAACGAAAGCAAGGUCCUUGGGUCCUGGGAGCACCCACAUGUUCUUUUGGGAGGGCUGAGUGGCUACUGACAGCAAGAACAGAACCUAGGGCCAGUGUCGCAGAAUUCCCAGAGCUGUGCCAGUUUAAGGGCUACCCACAGGCAUCUCUAUGCUUUGCCAUUUGCCCCUGUAAGAAGUAAGGUCGGGAGUCCUGGAGAAGUCAAGCUCAAGUCGUCCUUUGUAACGACACUAAAGCUCACCUUGAGUUCACUUCACACGGGCCAGUCACAACCACUUAAUUCUGUCCUCACAGCCCAUCAGCAGGCACUGUGGUGUUUCUAUCUUAUGGAGGAGGACGCCAGGGCUUGCCCAACGCUAUCACCUUGCCAGAGUCGUGCUGCUGAAUGAUGGCAGAUCUAGGGUGCUGUCGUGGGUGUCUCUGUCUCCCUCCCACAUCCCAGUCUCUACCCACCAUACUCCCUGGAAGUGGAGAGCAAUCACAGAUCUGCUGGUUUCUUUCUCUGCACCUGGCAACCUCUGGAGGGCAAGGCCUGCACUUUUCCAGCUGUGACACCAGCCCAUGUGUCUCAUAUCAUUUCUCUCUCAUGUAGCAAGAAUUUCUCCCCAGAAAGGAGGUGGCAAAGAUGGGCAGGGGGUGCAAAGGUGGGGGCUCUGACAGCCAGGUUCCAGGGUGCACUGCUGAGCCAGCCCACAACCAUGGUGAGGCAGGGAGAUUCCGCAGGACUCCGUAUCCGUGCUUUGAAGAUGGCUUUCGUGCUUUUAGUCUUUUCUUUGUUCAUUUGUUGUUUGUUUUCUGAUGAUGUUUUAGUAAAAAGUUCUUUUGAAAAUCCCAAGCUUUCUCAGCUGUGCAAAGGGGAACAAAGAACAGGGCUUUGGUGUUUUGUCCGGACUUGGACAGGUGUCCCGCUGAGGAAGUGGCCUGUCCCAGCCCCAGUCGGGUGGUGCUGGGAGGGUGGGGAGAGAGGCAACCAGGCUCAGCUUGGCCGGGGCUUCUGUGUGCCCUUCCGUCGGCUACCUUCCUCCUUUAGAGCUGUCUUUGUUGGAUUUGCCCUUUUCCAUAAGGAGCCAUCGACCCCUUUAUCAUCCAACACAAUGGAGGUUUAUGAGAAACAUAUUCCAGGAAGGUUACCAAUUUUUCCCUUAAAUAGACCCAAGUCAAAUUGCUGAUCCUCCCAAUCUCAUCCUUGCCACUGUGACCAGCCCUCUAGGAGGGAAAUCCAGUGAGGCCCAGUGGGUAGAGAACAUUCCUGGCAGUUUGGCCCACCCUGGGGGGUGUCCCUGAAUCCUAUUGAGCAUCAGCUUCCAAACCCAAAAAGGAAGAAACGCCACUGACUUCACAGGCCUUCUGUUAUGAUUGAAGGUGGAGCUGCCCAGUAACCAUACCUCUGUGCCAGCACCACCACAAACCCUGGAGGACUCGGAGGGCAGAGCGCAUUUGCACUUUGUGCUACUGAGGCCAGAGUUUUUGUUAGGCUAAAAGGGUAGAGAAGGUGGACCAUGUGUACUCAAUGGAACCAAGGAGGGCAGAAGGCGGGU
rnacentral:lncRNA from 10 species